GGGAAGCUCAGAGGCUCGGCAGGACUGUGCUGCCUCUCUGGGAGCACAGGUGUGACUCGGAUUUGGAGACAGGAGUGAAAUGUUCCUUUAGGACAGGGGUUAAAGGAGUUGCUUUCCCAACUAGUCCGAGUGCUCCCAUUGUUUCCUCGCUAAUGGCACCAAUUUCCCAGUGCAUGGAGAGCAUGGGCCUGACGGGAUAACUGGAAAUUAAGUUUGUCAGCUUUGCUCAGCUGCAUCCAGGAGUUAAUGCCUGGCUGGGCUGGUGUUUCCAGUGCAUCUUUUUCAGCUGCUGGCCCCAAACUCCUCCAAAAACCCCUGUGGAUGAUGCAGCAAAUGGAGCAUGGACUGGAUGUUCCUUAUGGGUCCCUUCCAACUCCAGACUCCUCUGAGGAAAAGCCCUGAAUCUGACACCAAAUUCCACUCAUCGAAAGACUCAAGGACCCCCCAGAGUGAUCUCCAAGUGCCACACGGAGCAGUUGCUGUAGAUAAUCCCUAUAAAGAUUAAUGCCUCAGAAAAUGUUUGUUCCUGGAGCCCAGCCCAACACCACAAACCAUCUGUCAGAUCCAGGACAGCGGCCACAGGGACAGGGCACGGGGAAGGAUGGAUUUGGCACCAAGCUUGGAGCAAGGGCAGCUCCUGUAGCUGCAGCCUCAUCAGGGACCGGCACAGGAGAGGAAAAAUCCCACAAGUAAAUGCAAGGGGAAGAGCCUGGACCAGAGUUGUACUUGAAGGGGUGUGGGCCUGAUAUUUCUGGGUCUGAGCCAUUUUAGCCUGCUAGCAGCUGCUAACUUUUUUCCCAAGGGAAAAUUUCUCAAGAGUUUCUUCUCAAAACAAUCCUGGCAAACAACUAUCCUUACCCAAAACAAUCUUUCUCCAGGUAGUGUUUUGCCUUUCUAGUUCUCAAAAAACCCCAUUUUGGCUGUUUCUGUAGUUUAACAAAUAGGAUUGGGGAGAUUCAUUCCUAUACACCAAUCAUGUUAAGUCUGUAUCGAAGCACCUUAUAAAAAGCAGUAAGAAUUGGACAAUAAAGCCUUUUCUAUGCUCUUUGGCUUCUGAAAUA